rnacentral:rRNA from 1 species
AUUGAACGCUGGCGGCAGGCUUAACACAUGCAAGUCGAGCGAGCGGCGGACGGGUGAGUAAUGUCUGGGAAACUGCCUGAUGGAGGGGGAUAACUACUGGAAACGGUAGCUAAUACCGCAUACCAUCAGAUGUGCCCAGAUGGGAUUAGCUAGUAUGUGGGGUAAGGGCUCACCUAGGCGACGAUCCCUAGCUGGUCUGUGCGGAUGACCAGCCACCCUGGAACGUGUACCGGGUCCAGACUCCUACGGAAGGCAGCAGUGGGGAAUAUUGCACAAUGGGCGCAAUCCUGAUGCAGCCAGGCCGCGUGUGUGAAGAAGGCCUUCGGGUUGUAAAGCACUUUCAGCGAGGAGGCGUUACUCGCAGAAGAAGCACCGGCUAACUCCGUGCCAGCCGCCGCGGUAAUUC